AAACGCAGAACUUUUGCCGUCGUUUUGAUGCGACUUAAUGAAGCGUGCGUGGAGUGGAGCAGGUGCCAGGCUCAGUCAAAACGGCCAAAGGGCCGUUAAAUCCGUUAAGAAGCGGGGGAAGCAUUCUGGGUUUUCGAUGCAGCCUUUACAAUAAGGCUGGUUUUGUGAUUAAGAGCCAUCUUCUUCAUUCAAUUUCGUUUUAGUGAGAGGGAGAAAAAUAUCUUGAUUUGCUCUCUGCAUUUUGCUCUUCCUGGCAAAUUAAUGAAAGCUUAUUGCAACUUGCUCCAAGGCUGAACCACUUUGAUCUCUGGGUUUGUUUCUUUUGCUUAUGCUGUGAUUGCUUCAAUUGGAUCUUGAUUAUUAGACUUAGGUUCUUGGGGUGUUUUUUUUUUUUUUUGGGGCUGUAAUCUUGAUUCAAACCAUUGGUCAAGAAUUUUCCGGGUAAAGAAAUGAUUGCUGGUAUUUGCACUUUUUGUUACUAAUAAAGCA
rnacentral:lncRNA from 1 species